rnacentral:sRNA from 1 species
GCUUUAGGGUUUUGCUGCUGGCUCUGACUGCCGUCCUGCGAUGGGUUGCGACGGCGGAACAAUACCCAAGAGGCAUGAACUGGUGAAGGGACCGAAGAAGGUUGAGAAGGCAAUUAUUGGUGGGCUCCUGGAUGGGGGCUGGUCACCAGAAACACCAAGCCAAGAUUAGAAGCCUGGAACUUUCAGCCCCACCUCACCCCCAUCCUUCAGGGAGGAGAAGAGGAAUUGGACAUGGAGUUAAUAAUCCAUCAUGCGUACGUGGUGGGGUCUCCAUAAAGAUCCCUGAAGUUGAGGGUUUGGAGAUUUUCUGGGUUGCCGACCACAUCCACAUGCCAGGGGAGUUACCCCAACUCCAUGGGGACAGCCCUGCACUUGGGACCCUUCCAGACUAUACCCUAUGUACUUCUUUAUCUGGCUAUUUUUGUCCUUUAAAAUGUAUUUGUAAUAAAUCAGCAAUGUACAGAUAUGUAGAAACUUAAAAGAAGAAAGACCCUAGAAAAGAAGAGAGACCCUGGUUUUGCAUUUGAAGAAUGGGAAGGAGUGGUGUAGUCUACACAGUGAAGGAAAAAGCAAGAAUGGGAAGGAGUGGGACAUGGAAUAUGAUGUCGACAAAGAUGCUGAAUUAGUGGCCCAGUGGAACUAUUGUACUCUAAGUCAGGAAAUA